AAAAAUCAAAAUUGUUCUUCAUCUGUGUUAAACAUAUUAAAAAAACAAAAAAACAAAAUUAUUCUUCAUCUGGGUUCAAAAACCCUCUCGUUCACGCCUCUGAAGGUUUCAGUAUUCUUCAUUUUCUUCCAAGGUAGUCAAAAACGCGUUUCAACUCGUGGAAACGCACGAUUUCACGUUUCUGCAUCCUCCUUCAGUCUCGGUUUUGCUUCUCGUCCAGGACCAAGCUUCUUCAUGUGGAAUCGCCGCGCAAAAACGCAGAGCCGCUGGAAUCGCGUUUCUGCCCCGAUGUUGCGUUCAAGAUUGAAGAUGCUCUUUUCUUGAUCCUGAGUGCAGCCCAGUCCAACCCAGUGGCCCAAUCUGAAUAGAAGACCAUGGAAGAUGGAGGAGCCCUAGCAGAUUAGCAUUUAAAUUUCGCGCGACCAAAAUCCCCAAUUUGGUGUGUCACAGCCUGCUGCCGUUGUUGUGGAAUUAGACUGGUGGUGGUUGAACUGUGUGAGGCUGUGAGCAUCAAUUUGCAAUUGUUUUGCGAAACUUUCUGACUCUGCCUCUGUGUCUGGUUCUCUGGCUCUCGCUCUCUAUUUCUGGAAUCUGGAUUGCUGCUGCUCUUCUCCUCCCCUUCACUGGUAGUUCAGGAAUGGCAUCAAAUCAAGCUAAUGCAAGUGAAAAUCCGAUUAACAUUCCAGCUUCUCAGUCAGGAAGUACAGCUGGAAUCGCUUGUAAAAAAAAGUUGCUAAGAAUGCUCUUGGAAGUAGAACUGAUGUAGGAUGGGAGCACGGGAUAUCUGUUGGAGAAGAUGGAAAGAAGAUACAAUGUAAAUACUGUCAUAAAAUUUUUUCAGGAGGAGUUUAUAGAUUGAAACACCACUUAGCAGGAACUCAAAAAGAUGUUGGGGCUUGUACAACUGUUAGUGAUGAAGUUAAGAAGCAAAUGUGGGAUGUUGUGAGUGGGUUACAAGUAAAUUUGAUGAAGAAAACAAACAUGGGUGGGGC